rnacentral:rRNA from 1 species
GAGUGAUGAAGGCCUUCGGGUCGUAAAACUCUGUCCUCAAGGAAGAUAAUGACGGUACUUGAGGAGGAAGCCCCGGCUAACUACGUGCCAGCAGCCGCGGUAAUACGUAGGGGGCUAGCGUUAUCCGGAUUUACUGGGCGUAAAGGGUGCGUAGGCGGUCUUUCAAGUCAGGAGUGAAAGGCUACGGCUCAACCGUAGUAAGCUCUUGAAACUGGGAGACUUGAGUGCAGGAGAGGAGAGUGGAAUUCCUAGUGUAGCGGUGAAAUGCGUAGAUAUUAGGAGGAACACCAGUUGCGAAGGCGGCUCGCUGGACUGUAACUGACGCUGAGGCACGAAAGCGUGGGGAGCAAACAGGAUUAGAUACCCUGGUAGUCCACGCUGUAAACGAUGAGUACUAGGUGUCGGGGGUUACCCCCCUCGGUGCCGCAGCUAAC